UACGAAGGGGGCUAGCGUUGCCCGGAAUUACUGGGCGUAAAGGGUGCGUAGGCGGCUCUUUAAGUCAGGGGUGAAAUCCUGGAGCUCAACUCCAGAACUGCCUUUGAUACUGAAGAUCUUGAGUUCGGGAGAGGUGAGUGGAACUGCGAGUGUAGAGGUGAAAUUCGUAGAUAUUCGCAAGAACACCAGUGGCGAAGGCGGCUCACUGGCCCGAUACUGACGCUGAGGCACGAAAGCGUGGGGAGCAAACAGG
rnacentral:rRNA from 1 species